CCUACGGGAGGCAGCAGUAGGGAAUCUUCGGCAAUGGACGAAAGUCUGACCGAGCAACGCCGCGUGAGUGAAGAAGGUCUUCGGAUCGUAAAACUCUGUUGUUAGAGAAGAACGUUGCAUAGAGUGGAAAAUUAUGCAAGUGACGGUAUCUAACCAGAAAGGGACGGCUAACUACGUGCCAGCAGCCGCGGUAAUACGUAGGUCCCGAGCGUUGUCCGGAUUUAUUGGGCGUAAAGCGAGCGCAGGUGGUUUAAUAAGUCUGAUGUAAAAGGCAGUGGCUCAACCAUUGUGUGCAUUGGAAACUGUUAGACUUGAGUGCAGUAGAGGAGAGUGGAAUUCCAUGUGUAGCGGUGAAAUGCGUAGAUAUAUGGAGGAACACCGGUGGCGAAAGCGGCUCUCUGGACUGUCACUGACACUGAGGCUCGAAAGCGUGGGUAGCAAACAGGAUUAGAUACCCUGGUAGUCCACGCCGUAAACGAUGAGUGCUAGUUGUUUGGGGCUAUCCAGCCCUAAGUGACGCAGCAAACGCAUUAAGCACUCCGCCUGGGGAGUACGACCGCAAGGUUGAAACUCAAAGGAAUUGACGG
rnacentral:rRNA from 1 species